GAUGAACGCUAGCUACAGGCUUAACACAUGCAAGUCGCAGGACUGGCGCACGGGUGAGUAACGCGUAUCCAACCUUCUCAUAACUACGGGAUAACCCGUUGAAAGACGGCCUACUAACUUAUGGUUAUGGGUGGGGGUGCGUCUGAUUAGCUUGUUGGCGGGGUAACGGCCCACCAAGGCAACGAUCAGUAGGGGUUCUGAGAGGAAGGGCCCCCACAUUGGAACCGUGACACGGUCCAAACUCCUACGGGAGGCAGGAGUGAGGAAGAUUGGGUAAUGGGCGAGAGCCGGAACCAGCCAAGUAGAGUGCAGGAUGACGGCCUAUGGGUUGUAAACUGCUUUUAUGGGGGGAUAGGUACCACAUGAAUAAGGACCGGCUAAUUCCGUGCCAGCAGCCGCGGUAAUUC
rnacentral:rRNA from 1 species